ACGAACGCUGGCGGCGCGCUUCACACAUGCAAGUCGAACGGAAAGGCCCUGCUUUUGUGGGGUGCUCGAGUGGCGAACGGGUGAGUAACACGUGAGUAACCUGCCCUUGACUUUGGGAUAACUUCAGGAAACUGGGGCUAAUACCGGAUAGGAGCUCCUGCUGCAUGGUGGGGGUUGGAAAGUUUCGGCGGUUGGGGAUGGACUCGCGGCUUAUCAGCUUGUUGGUGGGGUAGUGGCUUACCAAGGCUUUGACGGGUAGCCGGCCUGAGAGGGUGACCGGCCACAUUGGGACUGAGAUACGGCCCAGACUCCUACGGGAGGCAGCAGUGGGGAAUAUUGCACAAUGGGCGGAAGCCUGAUGCAGCAACGCCGCGUGCGGGAUGACGGCCUUCGGGUUGUAAACCGCUUUCGCCUGUGACGAAGCGUGAGUGACGGUAAUGGGUAAAGAAGCACCGGCUAACUACGUG
rnacentral:rRNA from 1 species